GGCUGAAAUUCGCCUUCAUGAAGCCGGAAUUGCUAGUAAUGGCAGGUCAGCAUACUGCCGUGAAUACGUUCCCGGGCCUUGUACACACCGCCCGUCACACCAUGAGAGUUGGAGAUACCCGAAGCCUGUGAGCUAACAAACGAGGCAGCAGUCGAAGGUAGAAUCAAUGAGUUGGGGUGAAGUCGUAACAAGGUAAC
rnacentral:rRNA from 1 species